rnacentral:rRNA from 1 species
UGCCGCGUGCAGGAUGAAGGCCUUCGGGUUGUAAACUGCUUUUGUACGGAACGAAAAGCUUCGGGUUAAUACCCUGGAGCCAUGACGGUACCGUAAGAAUAAGCACCGGCUAACUACGUGCCAGCAGCCGCGGUAAUACGUAGGGUGCAAGCGUUAAUCGGAAUUACUGGGCGUAAAGCGUGCGCAGGCGGUUUUGUAAGACAGAGGUGAAAUCCCCGGGCUCAACCUGGGAACUGCCUUUGUGACUGCAAGGCUAGAGUACGGCAGAGGGGGAUGGAAUUCCGCGUGUAGCAGUGAAAUGCGUAGAUAUGCGGAGGAACACCGAUGGCGAAGGCAAUCCCCUGGGCCUGUACUGACGCUCAUGCACGAAAGCGUGGGGAGCAAACAGGAUUAGAUACCCUGGUAGUCCACGCCCUAAACGAUGUCAACUGGUUGUUGGGUCUUAACUGACUCAGUAACGAAGCUAACGCGUGAAGUUGACCGCCUGGGGAGUACGGCCGC